rnacentral:lncRNA from 1 species
GCAUAUAGACAAGAAUUGAAAAGGAAAAUGCAUAAAUAAAAUUAGGUUUUGCAUUGUGCUAAGGCUGUAGGAUUAGACAUAAUUGAUUUUUCUUCUCUAAAGAUGUUUUUAAAGGUGUUUUUAAUGAUGUGUAGGCAUUCUUUUUGUAGGCAUUUUUUGAACCAUCUCCUCCAUAAAUAUCUACUAUGUUUCCAGACUGGCUCCACAGGUCUUGUGUUGGCUCUGAAAAUGGCUGCAUGGCAGUCCUUACUUGAGGACUAUGUCAUUUCAUCUCUAUGCCUCCAGUCCCCAGAAGAAAAGCUUGGAAGGAAUGUUUGA